rnacentral:lncRNA from 1 species
UGUUGAAUAGCUUUUGUUUGCCUUUUCUUUUUUCUCUGUCCAUUGGGGAUCACUCUUGUUUGCCUGGUUUACAAAUGAAAGAGCAACUGCCUUUUGGCCUGAAGAGUCCAAGGUGAUAGAUGGGUCUGCUCUGCCUGCUCAUCGUAUUUGUCACUUCAUUGAAGUUAUUAUGAGUGUGUAUUUAGGUAUUGAUGUGAUCUUUUGACAAGUCUACAAAUGUGGGACAUUACUGAAAGAAGAAAUGUGGGGAAGAAGGCACCAUGGAAUGUCCAAGAAAGCAAACAGACUGGAUUUCUACCUAUAGUGAGAAUCCAAGGAGCCCAUGGAGUUCCUGUAGAAAGACCCCCCAGGAUGAGAAAGAAUCUCUGAUACAAAGUGGAACACAUUUGCCAUAUGGAUUAUCUCUGUCGGAGGCAUGAUAUUUAGGUCAAGAUGAUUAUAUACCCUGACUAUCAUACAUACAGUACAGCAAUUUAAUGUAUGGAGAACUGAAGACUCUAGGGAACAGGGACUUUUGCCUAUUGUCAAUAGGCAUGGAUUACAAUUGGACCUCUGAGAAUAAUAGGUUCCAUGUGUCAGUCAAUCUAUGAUCUUGAGUGCAACCAAGGAUUGGCGACUUCUCUUGUGCUUCUUUCAUGGAGAUGAAUCCAUAAACCGGAAAUGAAGGCCUGUGGAUUCCUUCAUGGUUAACAGAUAUCAGGUUUGAUCAGAGAAGACCUCCUAAAAAUCUUGGCUACAGACAUAGAGUAAUAAACCAAGAAAGAGUACCAGACAGGUGACAUAUAUACUGACCCCUCUGCAUGGGAAUAGUUCCAAGACAGCACAAAUGCUACAACUACUCUUCCCAGGAAUUGACUAUUAUCUCAAUUUUCUCAGGGUCUCCUAAAGAUGCUGUCACCAUCAGACAACAGGAAGCAGUUUAGAGAACAUAAUUCCCACAUUCCCUAGAUGUGGGUAGGGUAGUUUUUGGCCAUUUGGUGGGUUAUGGAUGUUUGUCAUUGUUGGGGACGUAUAGGAAUAUAAGAUAAAAAGAAAAUGAUUUACCUCAAAUAUUUUGUAUUGGCAUGGAUUUUUGUAUGUUGAUACAAAUUUAAGGUUAUUUUUAUUAUACCAUGUAUAUAUUUGUACUCUUGUUUGAAGUAUUAUACCUA